rnacentral:rRNA from 1 species
AUGCUCAAGAAGACGAGGCGAAGUGAUGAGGACAUGGCUAUCACAGUUACACCCAUAUCCCCUGCUGUUUUACCUCUCGGAACAAUUUCUAGAGCUCGCAUGCGCCAAUUAAAUUAUCAGGUACUUACGUUUCUUGGUAAUGUUUCUAGUGUUCAUAAGAAUAUGAUGCUGCCUAACUUAGAUGCAUUUGUGUUGCUUGCAAUUGAAGGGCCUAGCACGCACAAGAAGGAUGAAUAUUGGAGCAUGGUCAAGCACGGAGAUGAAGGUGCGUGCAAAGAGAACAAGAAUGGAGGUUCAAGUGGAGAUUUCCGGACUUUGAAGCCACCAUGA